AGAAUGACUCUCGGCAACGGAUAUCUAGGCUCUUGCAUCGAUGAAGAACGUAGCGAAAUGCGAUACUUGGUGUGAAUUGCAGAAUCCCGUGAACCAUCGAGUCUUUGAACGCAAGUUGCGCCCGAUGCCAUUAGGUUGAGGGCACGCCUGCCUGGGCGUCACAU
rnacentral:rRNA from 1 species